rnacentral:lncRNA from 1 species
AUGCCACAGUAAUUUCCUCAACACGCUGGCCUACAGCCUGGCCCUUACAGCCCACUCUCCCUGCAGGGCCCCCCUUUUCCACUGAUUUACUGUGGUCUAUAUUGAAUGCUUCUGCUUUAGCUUUGCUGGAUAAGACACAAAGAGAUAAUGCGUCAGAAUUUGAAGAUUGUUGGAUGUGCUUUUUUGCUUCCCCACCCUUUUAUGUGGGCAUAGCCUUAUUUGGAAAUUUUACCCUGCUUUCAGAUGCUAGGCAGCUCCCCUUCGAGUCAGUUCAGCUUACCUUGACAGAACUCUCCGGGGUAAGAAGUUGUGUGUUGGGCCCAGGCAUGCUUCUGCCGCGGCCCUUACUAGAGAUUUGCAAUAAUACGUUAAAUAAAAAUGGAUUUUCUUAUAUUUUUGCCCCAAAUGAUACCUUUUUGGCAUGUUCCAUAGGCCCUUACACAAUACAUUAUUAUACAAGAUUUUAUAAAUAAUAGAGAUUAUUGUGUCUUGGUUCAGCUUUUUCCAAAUUUUAGUAUUCAUGAAUCAGAUGACUUACUGAAGUUUUGGGAUCGAGGUGCCUCCUUGCCAUCCCGCCACAAAAGAGAGCCUAUCUCGGCGGUGAACCUUGCUGUCCUUCUUGGCCUGGGUGCUGCUGGGACGGGGACCGGAAUCGAAGCCCUUGUGUCAUCUCAACAGAAUGCGUGCAAUUACCAUCUGCUCAAUGAGGCUAUUAGCCAAGUUAUAGAGAAUAUAAAAAGGGGCCUAGAUGAUCUUACUGAUUCCUUGGUCUCCCUUUCAGAAGUUGCCCUUCAAAAUAGAAGGGGAUGAGAUUUGCUCUUUCUACAAGGAGGCUUAUGCGAUGCACUUAAGGAAGAAUGCUGCGUAUAUGUUGAUAAAACUGGAUUAGUUAAAGAUAGCAUUGCCAAAGUUACUGCCAGUUUAGAAAAAAGAAAAAGAGAGAGAGAGAACAAGAGUCAUGUUACCAAAAUUGGUUUUCAACCUCCCCCUGGCUUUCGACCUUGUUGCCCUCCCUUUUGGGGCCCCUAUUGGGACUCCUAUUAUUGAUUUCCUUCAGUCCUUGGACAUUUCAGAAAUUGACCCGAUUUGUUAAAUCUCAAAUUGAUUCAUCUCUUUCAAGCGCAUCUGUUUCAGUUCAUUACCAUCGGCUGGACAUUGGUGAUAACAAGCAGGUUACUGAAGAAGAGUCAGACGAGGAUACCGCUUCAUCACCCUCUUCUCAGGGAGAGAGACUCAAUUUCCAUAAAAUGCUUAAGUAAGAUCAUUUCCCUUUCCCUAAAUUCGGCCAUUAGUCUCAUGCCAUGAAUCAUUUAUAGAUUGCCAUAGUCUGUGCUUCCGACAUGGUAAUAUACAUUCUCACCACAGUGGAAACUAAACAGUCAUCCCAGGCUAGACACAUCAAAAAAUUGGAACUUGAAGCUGUCGCCCAUGAGAGUUGUAAGGAUAAGCACUGCACAGAGAUUAGUCUGGAAGCUGUUAGACAGUCUCUGAGAGACAUGUCUGAUUGCAUGAAGGUUGUGUGCCCUAGGGUCCUUCCCCCAGGAAAAACGGCAUGGGAGCAGGUCAGGGUUACUCUGGAUAAAAAUCUGUGGGCCUGAGAGUCAAUCCUGUACAUGGCCCCUAACAUUGCACACUGGGGAUCAGACCUCUACCUCUACCCAUGGAGCUUGCUUUGUUCCUAAAUCCCUUAGCUAGCCCAGGUUAUACCCAACAGAUUGGAACUGUUAAUUCAAGCCUCAUAGAUGACUUGUCCUUGUGUCUUUCAUGGUUUUAGAGAAACACUUGGUGAGCAAACAGACGUUUAGGUGGUCAUUAAAAACAUGGCUACAAAUUUAUUAUACAAUAUGCCUUUAUAAAAAUAUUAAAAAGGGAGCUAUUAAGACAACUCUAUUGUCUUGAUCUCUGAAUUGGGCCUCUCCCCCGAGAAGAAAACGGGGUCAAAAGCGGGCCAUCAACGCAGCGUUCCAAGAACAACCACAGAAUGUUCCAGCCCUAAGUCAGCGCCAGAUGUCCUGACCACAAGAUGUACCCUGAUACCACCAAAUUCCUGCUUCCCCGUGUAGUUGCCAAAAGAAAAAUUUCUGCUGCCCCAUCCCUCCUGCUGAGGAGUACUUCCUCUUUUGCUUGUGCAUUUCCGCUGCCCCAUUCCUCCUGCUGAGAAGUACUUCCCCUUUUGCUUGUGCAUUUAAGCCUUGAGCCUUGCUGAAUACAGAGAGACCUUGAUGCUACUCAGACCGCUUCUGUGUCGUUCCUUGCACUUGGUUUCCGUCUCUCCCUC